rfam:Ovis aries breed Texel chromosome 3, whole genome shotgun sequence.
UCUCUGGUGGCUCAGAGGUUAAAGUGUCUGCCUCCAAUGCGGGAGACCCGGGUUCGAUCCCUGGGUUUGGGAA